AUCAAAAACAUGUCCUUUUGUAUUAAAUAUAAGGUCUAACCUGCCCAAUGAUUUAUAUUCAAUGGCCGCGGUAUAUUAACUGUGCUAAGGUAGCAUAAUCAUUUGUCUUUUAAUUGAAGGCUAGAAUGAACGGUUGGACGAGAUAUAUUCUUUCUUUAAUCUAUUUGUUUGAAUUUAUUUUUUUAGUUAAAAAACUGAAAUUUAUUUGAGGGACGAGAAGACCCUAUAGAUCUUUAUAAGUGAAUUAUUAUAUAAUGUAGGGAAUUAAUUAUUGUAAUAAUUAAAUUUAUUUGGUUGGGGCGACUGUAGAAUUUGAUAAACUUCUAUUUUUAUUUUUCAAUAAUUAUUGUUUAUUUGAUCCAUUUUUAAUGAUUAAAAGAUUAAGUUACCUUAGGGAUAACAGCGUAAUUUUUUCGGAGAGUUCUUAUCGAUGAAAAAGUUUGCGACCUCGAUGUUGGAUUAAAAUAAGUUAUGGGUGCAGAAGUCCAUUUACUAGGUCUGUUCGACCUUUAAUUUUUUACAUGAUCUGAGUU
rnacentral:rRNA from 1 species